rnacentral:rRNA from 1 species
UACGGGGGGGGCAAGCGUUGUUCGGAAUUACUGGGCGUAAAGGGCUUGUAGGCGGCCAACUAAGUCAGACGUGAAAUCCCUCGGCUUAACCGGGGAACUGCGUCUGAUACUGGAUGGCUUGAGUUCGGGAGAGGGAUGCGGAAUUCCAGGUGUAGCGGUGAAAUGCGUAGAGAUGUGGAGGAACACCAGUGGCGAAGGCGACUUUCUGGUCUGCAACUGACACUGAGGCGCGAAAGCGUGGGGAGCGAACAGG